rnacentral:rRNA from 1 species
UACGGAGGGGGUUAGCGUUGUUCGGAAUUACUGGGCGUAAAGCGCACGUAGGCGGAUCAGAAAGUUGGGGGUGAAAUCCCGGGGCUCAACCCCGGAACUGCCUCCAAAACUCCUGGUCUUGAGUUCGAGAGAGGUGAGUGGAAUUCCGAGUGUAGAGGUGAAAUUCGUAGAUAUUCGGAGGAACACCAGUGGCGAAGGCGCACUCAGUGCUCGAUACUGACGCUGAGGUGCGAAAGUGUGGGGAGCAAACAGGAUUAGAUACCCGGAGUCA